GUAGGCAUCGGGUACUAAAGUUUUUUUAAAAAAGAGGAGACGGUCCGAAUAUGGGCCCUGUUGCUAAUAUGGGGCUGCCUAAAAAUUUCGGAAGACGAGGAGCACCAUCCUCCGAAUAUACCUCUUACUGUGUCUAGUUUGAUUUUUAGAACGUGCCCAACUGCUACGCAAAAACAGUCGAACCACCGACAAAAUGUCAUUUUUGGUACAAAUUGGAAAUAAUUUACUAGAGACCUCAAUUGCUCCUAAUAUGGGACAGUUAUCGAUCCAAAUAUUUUAAACCAAAUUGAUUAGAAUUGUUUUCUUUAGUUGAGAUGCCUAGAAGACAGCCAAAACUUAGUGUGUAAUAAAGUGAGAAAGGCUUGGGCUUCGAAUGCAAUGAUUAAUGCAAUAGAAGUAGUCAGAAACCAAGGAGUUGGAACUAGAGGCACUGCUAGAGAUGAACGAGUUCUCAGAUUGAAAUAACAAAGAUUUUUGCGAAAUGAAAAAUUAGACCCUGCACAACCAGUAAACCGUAAGCUUGAGAGGAAAACUAUUUUAGGAAGUGGAAAUAGAACAGGAAAUUGGUCCAAUAUAUUUUGAUCAUGGAAGCAAAGUAUUACGGAAUUACAAGAAAAGAUGUCCAAAGAAUGGAUUACAAUUUAGCUCCAAGAAACGGAAUUCGGCAUCCUUUCAAAAAUGGUGUAGCCGGUGACGCUCUGGUUGGACUGAUCUUGUCAACGCGAAGACCAGCCGGCACGUCUUUCGCUAGUGCGCUAGGAUUCAUAAAAUCAAUGUACAAGACUUCUUCAACCUUUUGGAACCUGAAUACGACAAAAAUAAGUUUCCCCCUGAUCGAAUCUUUAAUCAGGUCUUUCUAUUAUUCAAAGCAAAGUUGUGGAAGUUACUGACAGAAAAAGGAAAAGACAAAUAUCAUCGCUUACAUCAGCUGAUCGCGGAUCAUUAUUAACGCUUAUUGUAGCCAUGUGCGCAGGAGGACAAUAUGUCCCGCCGAUGAUGAUUUUUUCUAGAAAAAAAAUAGAAAUAACCAGCUUAUAAGAGGCGUGCCACCUGAAUCUGUACAUGCAGUUCACUCGAGUGGGUGGGUGCAACAAAUCCUAUUUAUCGAGUGGAUGAGACUUCGUAAAAUCAACAUCUGAAUCUCCGGUAUUGUUGGUACUCGACGGACACUACAGCCAAACUCCGAACAUAGCUGUGGUAAGGCUAGCCAGGGAUAAUCACAUCUUGAUCAUUUCUCUCCCACCACAUGCUAACCACAAAUAACAAAUCUCUAGACAAAACAUUUAUGGGUAGCUUCAAGGCUUAUUAUAGCGAAGAGAUCAGGUGUUGGAUACGUGAAAAUCAAAGUGCCAUUUCUCAAUUUGAUCUAGCAGAACUAGUGGAGAAAGCAUUUUUAAAAUCCCAAACUGCCAAAAUAGCCUCAAAUGAAUUCAGAGUAACAAGGAUUUUUCCAUUUGAUCGUAAUAUUUUUUUUGAUGCUGAUUUCAUCCUGUAAUACUUCAUGCAACUCAACACCUGCACGCUCUGUUUAUUUAAAUUAAUCACUGGUGCAGCUGAGAGAAUAAUGCAGGGCCAACAUUGAGAAAAAGGGGAGGAUGAAGAAGAUUCGGAUGAUUUUUCUCCAGCUGAGGAGGAUAAUGAAAUGGAAGGAAUUGGUGGCAUUCCAGACGGGGACAAUGCGGUAUGCAUGUUUUGCGAUGGUAAGGACGAUACAAAAGGUAAACUGCGGGUCCAGUGUAUGUGUAUUAGUUGGUCACAUGAACAAUGUGCUGGAGCUGAAAAAGACGCUAAUUUUUAUUUUGAGUUCAACUUUUUUUCAAAAUAUUGUUAAUUGGCAUUGGCAGAAUAAGAAAUUUCCACUUCUGAGUUAUAUAUUUUUUAUGAUAUAUAUUGUAUCAAACCUAAAAUACUACAUCAGGAAGUAACAACAAUCUUUCGAGAUACAUGUGCGCUGAUUUGAUAUUUAUAGGAGUAAAUUAUUUUGAUUUAUUAUCAAAUAUAUAAAAGGGGGCCCAUUUCGGACCUUCUCCUCUAACAUAAUAAAAAAAAGAAAGGUUUCAUUAUAAAAAUUCAAAUAAUUUCUUAAAUUGCGCACCACUUCAAAGAAUGAUAACAUCUAUAUUUCCAAAAUAGUCUUUCCAUUCUGUUCUCAUUUAGUAUCGAAUUUGAUAUUCUAUUCAAAUAUUUUCAAUUUUCUCAUUUUCAUUGUUCAUUUCUCUUUUAUCAAUCAUAUUAUCUUGAUUCUGUAUAUUCAAUAUAUUUGUAUUUAAUUCAGGUUCUAUAAUAUAACAUUCGUUCUUUAAUAUUUAAUUAUCCAUUUUUAUUACUUUAUUUAUCAUUUAUUUUCAUUGUAUUAUCAUUAUUUAUUUAAAUGAUUUUUCUGUCUUAUUCCAACACUCACGAUUACACUGUCUGGAGCUCGUUUCGAUAACCAAGUUAUCGCCUUCAGAGACUGAAGGUAAAUUUAAAUCGUUCAUAAAAAAAUUCACUAUUUAAAUAUAACGAAUUAUCUCUUCCUAACUCAACUAAUUGAUAAGGAUAGAUUUAAAGGAACAAUUGAAGAAAAUAGGCACUUACAGAAAUCUGAAGUUCAUGUCCCUCGAAGAACGUAGAUAUUCGCAAUACCGUAUUGAAAUACGAUGUCGAGUCUUUUAUCUCACUUUGCGUAAGAUUCACGACUACACAAACUUAUUGGAUGGACAAAUUAACAAAAAUUAGCUAAAAGAUGUUUACAACCAUUCCUAUUUUAUAUUAAAAUAAAUGCUGACAAAUUUUUAAGAAACAUGAUCUUGACUUUUAAUUUUUAAAAUAAUCUGGAUUUUUCUAUAUGUAACUCCGCAUUUUUAUUGUUAACUUUUUUUCGCUGUAAAAAUAAUUCACAAAAUAAACAUGAAAUAUUA